CUUCACCGAGCCCAGCAGCACCGGUCGGUUCUCCGGGCGGCCCUGGCCGUAGGUGGCCAGCAGCGCCUGGGCCUC
rnacentral:antisense_RNA from 1 species